UCUACCUUCUGAGGAACUUUCAUGCCAUUUAUUUGGUGUGAUGGGAAAUCAGGACUGUUACUUUGAAAAAAUUAGAGUGUUUAAAGCAGACUAUCGUCUGAAUACAUUAGCAUGGAAUAAUGAAAUAGGACGGACUGAUUCUAUUUCGUUGGUUUCUAGGAUCACCGUAAUGAUUAAUAGGGAUAGUUGG
rnacentral:rRNA from 1 species